GACAGCGUGGUGUAACGGGAGCAUCCGACCUCCAAAGCUCGUGGGUCCGGGUUCGAGUCCUGGCGCUGUCG
rnacentral:tRNA from 1 species